UACGUAGGGUGCAAGCGUUUGUCCGGAAUUAUUGGGCGUAAAGGGCUCGUAGGCGGUCCAUCGCGUCGGGAGUGAAAAGCUGGGGCUCAACUCCAGUCCUGCUUCCGAUACGGGUGGACUAGAGGUAUGCAGGGGGAGAACGGAAUUCCUGGUGUAGCGGUGAAAUGCGCAGAUAUCAGGAGGAACACCGGUGGCGAAGGCGGUUCUCUGGGCAUUACCUGACGUGAGGAGCGAAAAGUGUGGGGAGCGAAACAGGG
rnacentral:rRNA from 1 species